rnacentral:rRNA from 1 species
AUACGGAGGGGGCUAGCGUUGUUCGGAAUUACUGGGCGUAAAGCGUACGUAGGCGGACUGAUCAGUUGGGGGUGAAAUCCCAGGGCUUAACCUUGGAACUGCCUUCAAUACUGUCAGUCUUGAGAUUGGAAGAGGUGAGUGGAAGUCCUAGUGUAGAGGUGAAAUUCAUAGAUAUUAGGAGGAACACCAGUGGCGAAGGCGGCUCACUGGUCCAAUACUGACGCUGAGGUACGAAAGCGUGGGGAGCAAACAGGAUUAGAAACCCUAGUAGUCC